rnacentral:rRNA from 1 species
GUCUACGGCCAUACACUCCGAACGCACCCAAUCUUGUCUGACCUCAGAAGCUGCGCAGGGUGGGACCUCAUUAGUACUUCGAUGGGAAACUGCCUGGGAAUACAAGACGCUGUAGGCC